CCUACGGGUGGCAGCAGUGAGGCAUAUUGGUCAAUGGGCGGGAGCCUGAACCAGCCAAGUCGCGUGAGGGAAGACGGUCCUCUGGAUUGUCAACCUCUUUAGGCGGGGAGCAAUGCCGGGCACGCGUGCCCGGAGGGAGAGUACCCGCAGUAUAAGCAUCGGCUAACUCCGUGCCAGCAGCCGCGGUAAUACGGAGGAUGCGAGCGGUAUCGGGAUUUCGUUGGUUUAAAGGGUGCGUAGGCGGUGUUUUAAGUCAGCGGUAAAAUGUCCGGGCUCAACCCGUGCCGGACGUUGAAAAUGGGGAUCUUGAGUGGGCGAGAAGUAUGCGGAAUGCGUGGUGUAGCGGUGAAAUGCAUAGAUAGCACGCAGAACUCCGAGUGCGAAGGCAGCAUACCGGCGCCCGACUGACGCUGAGGCACGAAAGCGUGGGGAUCGAACAGGAUUAGAUACCCGGGUAGUC
rnacentral:rRNA from 1 species